UGAAGAAAAGAAGAUACUGUAGCAGAAACCGAAUCUGCAGAUCAGUCAUGGCAUAUAUUGGUGGACAAUGGGUUCUGUUUCUCAUUUUAGCAGGUUAUAGUUCUGGAGAAGGAAUAGAACCAGUGUCUUCUACUGUAAACGUCCUACAAGGAAAUCCUGUUACCCUCUCCUGCCGGUACAAUGGAUCGUCUACAACUGAUUAUCUGCUGUGGUAUCGUCAGUAUUCCAGAUCCAGACCACAGUUUCUAUACUUGGUUGAUGAAGCUAAAUUUGAACAAAAAGCUGAACCCCCAGUACCAGGAAUGUCUGCAGUAGUAAAUGAGGACAAAAAUUGUGUGGAUCUGAAAAUCUCCUCUGCUGCAGUAUCAGACUCUGCACUGUACUACUGUGCCCUGCAGCCCACAGUGACAGGAAACCCAGCUACACUGUACAGAAACCUGUGUGAAUAAACUUCAUUGUGAAUGCC